rnacentral:rRNA from 1 species
UGGGGAAUAUUGGACAAUGGGGGGAACCCUGAUCCAGCCAUGCCGCGUGUGUGAAGAAGGCCUUAUGGUUGUAAAGCACUUUAAGCGAGGAGGAGGCUCUCUUGGUUAAUACCCAAGAUGAGUGGACGUUACUCGCAGAAUAAGCACCGGCUAACUCUGUGCCAGCAGCCGCGGUAAUACAGAGGGUGCGAGCGUUAAUCGGAUUUACUGGGCGUAAAGCGUGCGUAGGCGGCUUUUUAAGUCGGAUGUGAAAUCCCCGAGCUUAACUUGUGAAUUGCAUUCGAUACUGGGAAGCUAGAGUAUGGGAGAGGAUGGUAGAAUUCCAGGUGUAGCGGUGAAAUGCGUAGAGAUCUGGAGGAAUACCGAUGGCGAAGGCAGCCAUCUGGCCUAAUACUGACGCUGAGGUACGAAAGCAUGGGGAGCAAACA